rnacentral:rRNA from 1 species
UACGUAGGUGGCAAGCGUUGUCCGGAUUUAUUGGGUUUAAAGGGCGCGUAGGCGGUCCGAUAAGUCCCGUGUGAAAGCCCCCGGCUCAACUGGGGAACUGCACGGGAAACUGACGGACUUGAGUUCGGGAGAGGGAAGCGGAAUUCCGGGUGUAGCGGUGAAAUGCGUAGAUAUCCGGAGGAACACCGGUGGCGAAGGCGGCUUCCUGGACCGACACUGACGCUGAGGCGCGAAAGCUAGGGGAGCAAACGGG